rnacentral:rRNA from 1 species
UACAGAGGUCCCAAGCGUUGUUCGGAUUCAUUGGGCGUAAAGGGUGCGUAGGCGGCGUGGUAAGUCGGGGGUGAAAUCUCGGAGCUUAACUCCGAAACUGCAUUCGAUACUGCCGUGCUUGAGGACUGGAGAGGAGACUGGAAUUUACGGUGUAGCGGUGAAAUGCGUAGAUAUCGUAAGGAAGACCAGUGGCGAAGGCGGGUCUCUGGACAGUUACUGACGCUGAGGCACGAAGGCCAGGGGAGCAAACGGG